rnacentral:rRNA from 1 species
ACUCAAAGGAAUAGACGGGGGCCCGCACAAGCAGCGGAGCGUGUGGUUUAAUUCGACGCAACGCGAAGAACCUUACCUGGGCUUGACAUGCACGUGGUACGACCCCGAAAGGGGAAGGACCCGCAAGGGAGCGUGCACAGAUGCUGCAUGGCUGUCGUCAGCUCGUGCCGUGAGGUGUUGGGUUAAGUCCCGCAACGAGCGCAACCCUCGCUGCCAGUUACCGUUUCUGGCGGGACUGCCGGGUCCAACCCGGAGGAAGGUGGGGAUGAGGUCAAGUCAGCACGGCUCUUACGUCCAGGGCUACACACACGCUACAAUGGCCGGUACAACGGGCUGCGAUGGAGCGAUCCGGAGCGAAUCCCACCAAAGCCGGUCUCAGUUGGGAUUGCAGGCUGCAACUCGCCUGCAUGAACGCGGAGUUGCUAGUAACCGCAGGUCAGCACACUGCGGUGAAUACGUUCCCGGGCCUUGUACACACCGCCCGU